rnacentral:tRNA from 1 species
AAGUAAGAAGCAAAAUAAUUUGUGAUCAGUUUCGACCUGAUAGAUUGAUAUAUUAAAUAUCCUUAUUUG